UCCUCUUUUGAGUCGAUCUCACGCUGUUUCACCUGCUUCUCAGUUCUCAACAGUCCCAAAAUAUGUCGCUGCAGCUUUAUUUUUCGUUUAAUCAGGUGCUCUUAAUUAUCCGAUGGAAAGGAGUUUCUCUAAACUCAAGCUAUUGAAGUCAUAUUUGAGGACAUCCAUGUUGCAAGAGAGAUUGAACGGACUAGCUUUGAUUGCAGUCUAGAAUGAUUUUUUGGAUGAACUAGAUGUAGAAAGUUUAAUUGAUGAGUUUGUUUUGGAUCAUAUAAACAGGAUGUCAUUAUUCACUUAAUGUAUUUUGCUUCCUUUUUUGUUUU